GACGAACGCUGGCGGCGUGCUUAACACAUGCAAGUCGAACGAAGUGGCGAACGGGUGAGUAACGCGUAAUCAACCUGCCCUUCAGAGGGGGACAACAGUUGGAAACGACUGCUAAUACAGCAUACUGAAGGAGGGGAGUGCGUCUGAUGAGCUAGUUGGCGGGGUAACGGCCCACCAAGGCGAUGAUCAGUAGCCGGUCUGAGAGGAGUAACGGCCACAUUUGGACUGAGACACGGCCCAGACUCCUACGGGAGGCAGCAGUGGGGAAUCUUCCGCAAUGGACGAAAGUCUGACGGAGCAACGCCGCGUGAGUGAUGACGGCCUUCGGGUUGUAAAGCUCUGUUAAUCGGGACGCGGUACCGGAAUAGAAAGCCACGGCUAACUACGUGCCAGCAGCCGCGGUAAUUC
rnacentral:rRNA from 1 species